UACGUAGGAGGCAAGCGUUGUCCGGAAUUACUGGGCGUAAAGGGCGCGUAGGCGGCGUGUCAAGUCAAUUGUGAAAUCUCCGGGCUUAACUCGGAACGGUCAAUUGAUACUGAUGUGCUAGAGUGCAGAAGGGGCAAUCGGAAUUCUUGGUGUAGCGGUGAAAUGCGUAGAUAUCAAGAGGAACACCUGAGGUGAAGACGGGUUGCUGGGCUGACACUGACGCUGAGGCGCGAAAGCUAGGGUAGCAAACGGG
rnacentral:rRNA from 1 species